rnacentral:rRNA from 1 species
UUUUAUGAGAGUUUGAUCCUGGCUCAGGACGAACGCUGGCGGCGUGCCUAAUACAUGCAAGUCGAACGCUUUUUCUUUCACCGGAGCUUGCUCCACCGAAAGAAAAGGAGUGGCGAACGGGUGAGUAACACGUGGGUAACCUGCCCAUCAGAAGGGGAUAACACUUGGAAACAGGUGCUAAUACCGUAUAACAAUCGAAACCGCAUGGUUUCGGUUUGAAAGGCGCUUUUGCGUCACUGAUGGAUGGACCCGCGGUGCAUUAGCUAGUUGGUGAGGUAACGGCUCACCAAGGCAACGAUGCAUAGCCGACCUGAGAGGGUGAUCGGCCACAUUGGGACUGAGACACGGCCCAAACUCCUACGGGAGGCAGCAGUAGGGAAUCUUCGGCAAUGGACGCAAGUCUGACCGAGCAACGCCGCGUGAGUGAAGAAGGUUUUCGGAUCGUAAAACUCUGUUGUUAGAGAAGAACAAGGAUGAGAGUAGAAUGUUCAUCCCUUGACGGUAUCUAACCAGAAAGCCACGGCUAACUACGUGCCAGCAGCCGCGGUAAUACGUAGGUGGCAAGCGUUGUCCGGAUUUAUUGGGCGUAAAGCGA